rnacentral:rRNA from 1 species
AACGAACGUUGGCGGCGUGGAUUAGGCAUGCAAGUCGUGGGAAUACCCCGCAAGGGGUGGAACCGGCGUAAGGGGCAGUAAGGCGUAGGUACCUACCCGGGGGUUGGGCAUAGCCCGUAGAGAUACGGGGUAAUUCCCAGCGAUGUCGAAAGACCAAAGCUCCGGCGCCCUCGGAGGGGCCUACGUGAUAUUAGCUAGUUGGUGAGGUAACGGCUCACCAAGGCGAAGAUGUCUAGCGGGUGUGAGAGCACGACCCGCGCCACUGGCACUGAGACACUGGCCAGACACCUACGGGUGGCUGCAGUCGAGGAUCUUCGGCAAUGGGGGCAACCCUGACCGAGCGACGCCGCGUGGGCGAUGAAGGCCUUCGGGUUGUAAAGCCCUGUCGAGGGGGAGAAAAGCCGAAAGGUGUGAUCUAUCCCUGGAGGAAGCACGGGCUAAGUUCGUGCCAGCAGCCGCCGUAAAAC